AUUCACAGUGACAGCAUACUGCUGUUACGGACACCUCGAAGAGAGAGGUCUGAUGCAUUCGCACUCUGAUGAGCCAUAAGGGGAUACUGUGGCAGAUGAUGGCACAUCUCCCCAGAAGCCUUUGGCCUGAAUUUAGCGGGAUACGCCAAGUCUCAAGGUCUGUAUCUUCUGUGUUCUCAAUUCUCAAACUGAAGAGUUUGAUCAAACUCUCACUGGAAUCUAAAGCAUAUGGAAUAAUGCCUGAAGAUGGAGCUGUUUACAAACUUCUGCGGGAUAAAAGGGAACCUAUUUGCAACACAGACUUCAUAGAAACAAGCAUUGUAGUUACUUUUAUCAGGAAAAGCUACACAGUUCACAAAACAAAAACAAAAUAAAACAAACAAAACCAACAAAGCUGAUGGAGUUGAACAACACUAAAAAGAAAGCAACAAAGAAAGAAGCAGAAUUUUUCUUCCACUUUCACUCCAUGAGAGUUUGCCCUUCCAGAUUAAUGGUGUUGAACUUCUCAUGCUGACCAGAGGGAGCCCAGGAAGAGAUGAAAAGCACACAAUCUACAGAGCAAUAGAGCCUCUCCCACAUGUUCUUGUACAACUUAUAAAAUAUAGUGAUUGCAGAAACAUCUGAAACACAACUGAAGAGGUGGCUUGGGACACUUACUUUCAUUUUACGGACAACACUCAGAAAUAAUCUUUCAGCUUAUUCUACAGUUACUCCCAAGCAGAACAGAAAUUUUUGUACCUAAGCUCCAUGUCUGUAAAAACUGAACAAGAUAGCCAUGAUCCUAAUACUUCUAAAAUGCUUUUGAGACCAAACAUUGCAUAUGGGAUGAAAAGGAAUGUAACCCUUAUUAUUGCUGCAGAGUCCAGUUUCUUGAUUUUCUGACAGAUUAUUAUAAUCAUUAAUGAUCUAAGUAACUCAUUUUGUUAGAAGUUAUAGAGGAUAACUCCCCAAAAUGAUCAGGUCUUCAUCUCUUUUCUCUAUUUUAUAAAUUCAUUUACUCACUCAUUUGUAUCAGCAUAGAUUACAGCAAACACAGCUUACAAGAACACUCUAACGGGGCAGAAUUUUCUAUCCUUUUCUCUCAUGGGCCACUGAAGAAUCAGCUUUUCAGUCAUAACAGAUUGAAACUGCACGCCUAUGAGCCCAGAAGACCUUUGAAACCAUAUGAAUUAAGAAUCCAAAGCACAACUGAAGAAGAAAUGAACUUAAAUCAAGGCACCUAAAUGACCUGGACGUUUCUAAAACCUUUAUGCAAACCUUUAUACAUAUAUACAACCAGUCAGUUGCUAAGAAUCUCUGCAAGAAUACCAUGCAAUAGAAAGGUUUUUCAUUUUUUUUUUCCAUUUUCUUUUUCCCCUCACUCAAAACCAAAUAAAAAACCCAUUCACUUAAGAAGCGAUUGUCUGUAGACCUUUGAAGCCAAGGCGGGUGACAGCAAGGGCAAGAGGCUUAUUUCAAGGGUCACAUUUCAUUUGCAUAAGCAAGUAACCAUAGGGCACUGUGGAAUGUCUGUAAAUGGAUUUCAUUACAGAAAUUCAGCUUAAAGGGACUAUAAAUAAUCC
ensembl:lncRNA